UAGUCCUGGGUGAGAGAGACAUGACAGAGGGCACACAAGAGCUGUUGAGACCAAAAUGUUUUUACACCCUUUCCAGCUGACUGCAAAGGUCUCCCACUCAGCGGCACCCUGUUCUGACUGCCAGGAAGUUUUGAGAACCAUCGCUACAUCAACACGACAGAGCUACGUCCCCAAACAACAUGUGAGACAAGAAAAAGUAGGUGCAGUCUCCCUCCAUCCCCAAAAAGUGCUCCCUCCAGGCCUUCCCUGGCCUAGAGAAUGUGACAUUCUGCUUUCUUCUAUUAAUUCUGUACGGAUAAAUGCCCCCAGUUACUGCUUCAUUCAAACAGUAGAAAGCCCUUUCAUGGUACUCGAUGCCUAGUGCCUUCACUUUCCCAGUUUGGGGGCCGCCAGCCGCGCCUGAGGGGGCUGGGCUGGGGGAGGAGGCCCUGCCGUGCAGCUCUCACCUUGACGGCCUGCUGGUACUGCUGCGAGUGGGCGUGGACUUGCUGGACUUCCUGUUCCCUUCUUGCUAUUUCAUCUAGCAGGUUCUGUAAGACAACACAGACGUUAAAAAUAAAAAACUUAACCCCCCAAAAAAAA